rnacentral:rRNA from 1 species
GAUGAACGCUGACAGAAUGCUUAACACAUGCAAGUCAUUGGCGAAGCUGCGCUUUCGCAGGCUAGCCAAGGCGGACGGGUGAGUAACGCGUAAGGAACUUGCCCUGCAGACAUGGAUAACAGACGGAAACGACUGAUAACACCUGGUAAUGUCAGCCUGGCGCAUGCCGGCCUGAUGAAAGGAGACGCUGCAGGAGAGCCUUGCGUCCUACUAGCUAGCUGGUGGGGUAACGGCUCACCUAGGCGAUGAUAGGUAGCCGGCCUGAGAGGGUGAACGGCCACAGGGGGACUGAGAUACGGCCCAUACUCCUACGAGAGGCAGCAGUGGGGAAUAGUGGACAAUGGGGGCAACCCUGAUAGAGCAAUUCUGUGUGCAAGAAGAAGGUUUGCGGAGUGUAAAGUGCUUUCAGCAGAGAAGAAGAAAGUGACGGUACCUGCAGAAGAAGCGACGGCUAAAUACGUG